rnacentral:rRNA from 1 species
UACGAAGGGGGCUAGCGUUGCUCGGAAUCACUGGGCGUAAAGGGUGCGUAGGCGGGUCUUUAAGUCAGGGGUGAAAUCCUGGAGCUCAACUCCAGAACUGCCUUUGAUACUGAAGAUCUUGAGUUCGGGAGAGGUGAGUGGAACUGCGAGUGUAGAGGUGAAAUUCGUAGAUAUUCGCAAGAACACCAGUGGCGAAGGCGGACUCGACUGGCC